CGCAAGUUUUAUGAUUAAAAAAGAAACAAAUUCCUGACAGAAAAAUACUUUAACGGGGAAUUCCCCGAAUGAGUGCUUUGUGCACACUCACUGGAUGAUAGGGUUGCUAAAAGCUACUGCCAGGAAAAUGUAUCUCCGACUCAUCUUUAUAUUGCUGAUGUGUGGAAUAGUAAUCGGAAGCAAAAAUAUUGUGUUAAUAGUAGUUGACGAUUUAGAUUCUGUACUGGAUGGCAUGACUCCAUUGAAAUGGACGUCCCAGUACAUUAUGGGUAAAGGUGCUGAAUAUAGGAAUUGUUUUACAGCAUCGCCAAUUUGUUGUCCAAACAGAGCGUCAAUCUUAACUGGACGGUAUCAACACAAUCACGAAGUUUUUAAUAAUUCGUUAAGUGGCGGAUGUUAUAGUGCCCAAUGGCAAAGUACCUGGGAGAAACAAACGUUUGCAGCCCAUUUAAAAAGUUCAAUGAUGUAUAAAACUUUUUAUGCUGGAAAAUACUUGAACGAAUACGGAAAAUCAACCGCAGGAGGUACUCGACGAGUACCAGUUGGCUGGGACUGGUGGGCAGGCUUAGUUGGAAAUUCAAAAUAUUACUCAUAUUCGCUGUCUCUGAACGGUACAGAAAGAAAGUACGGUAAUAAGCCACAAGAUUACCUUACGGAUGUCAUAAAAGAUUUGGCUGUAAAGUUCAUCAAGAUUCAAGUAAAGGAUCAACCAUUCUUGAUGGUUUUGGCUCCACCGGCCCCACACGAUCCUUUUACACCAGCUUCGAGGCAUACCGACAAAUAUAAAGGAAAAACCGCAAAAAGAACACCAAAUUUUAAUAUUCGUGCUGGAGAUAAACACUGGCUAGUUAGAAUGGGUCCAGCACCACUUCCUAGCUCUGUGAUACAAAAAUUAGAUGACUUAUACAGACAUCGCUGGGAAACACUUUUAGCGGUGGAUGAACUUGUCCAGAGUGUCUACAAUGCCCUUCAAUCGAAGAGUCUUUUAGACGAUACAUACAUUAUCUUCACCUCGGAUAAUGGAUACCACAUUGGCCAGUUUAGUAUGCCGCAAGACAAGCGACAGCCGUAUGAAACAGAUAUUAAAGUACCAUUGUUAAUACAAGGACCUGGCAUCGUUCCUUCUAAGAUUAAUGCUGCUGUCAGCAGCGUAGAUUUGUAUGCCACAAUAUUAGAUAUAGCGGGCAUAGAAAAACCAUCAGAUGGUAUUUCGUUAUUGAAACCAUUGCCCAAUGACAGGAACGUAUUGAUUGAGUACAGGGGAGAAAAAUCCGAAAAGGCUCCAUCGUCCGGAUGUCCUACAGAUUCAGAUAUAAAUCUCUCGCACUGUAGCAAAGCCAUGGCGUGCAAGUGCCAAGAUACAACGAAUAAUACAUACAGCUGUAUUCGAAGAAUAUCAAGAGAUUACAAUAACAUAUUUUGCACGUUUGAGGACGACCAGAGGUACGUAGAGUCUUAUGACCUGAAUGACGAUGAGUAUCAAUUGACAAACGUUGGAUAUAAAAUGAAGCGAGGUCGUAGAAAUAAAUUCAGACGUCGUCUCAAGAAAAUGGAAGCUUGUGAAGAUUCAGAUUGUGUUGUAACCGGCCCCAAUGUCUGAGUCGUUGAUUUACCAAACAUACUAUGACGUACCCUCGUAUAUCGAUUACGUUUUUUAUUUUUGAAAAAUGGGCAUUCCGUUGAAAAUCUCUGAAUGGCGACGUGAAGGUGAGGAUCCAAGUUUUUCCCAGUCGAAAUCCUAUUUGGCUGUAAAUCUUCCGAUGGCCCCAGGGUUGUUCCGAAUUAUUGCGUUUAUGGAAAUCGCCAUCCCAUCACGGAGAUACUCCCUGAAUCUGGAUAUAAGAAUAACUCUUCCCUGGGCGGCUAUCCCACCGAGUGAAUUGUUAUCUUAGUAAAUAUUUUUAUUAAGGCCUGACAGACUUGAAUAUCUGAAUAGCGAUCGCAUCCGGGAAAAGUCUGGGGUAAAAAUAUCGCGGAGAUUGUCGGGCGUAUUUUCCUUCGCGAAAUGAUUCGAUCCUCUAAACAAUAUCUCCG
rnacentral:misc_RNA from 1 species